rnacentral:rRNA from 1 species
GACGAACGCUGGCGGCGUGCCUAACACAUGCAAGUCGAACGGACAGGCCCUGCUCUUGCGGGGUGCUCGAGUGGCGAACGGGUGAGUAACACGCGUGUAUCCUGCCCUUGUCUUUGGGAUAACUUCAGGAAACUGGGGCUCUUACCGGAUAGGAGCUCCUGCUGCACGGUGGGGGUUGGAAAGUUUCGGUGGUUGGGGAUGGACUCGCGGCUUAUCAGCUUGUUGGUGGGGUAGUGGCUUACCAAGGCUUUGACGGGUAGCCGGCCUGAGAGGGUGACCGGCCACAUUGGGACUGAGAUACGGCCCAGACUCCUACGGGAGGCAGCAGUGGGGAAUAUUGCACAAUGGGCGGAAGCCUGAUGCAGCAACGCCGCGUGCGGGAUGACGGCCUUCGGGUUGUAAACCGCUUUCGCCUGUGACGAAGCGAGAGUGACGGUAAUGGGUAAAGAAGCACCGGCUAACUACGUG